ACGCUCGACACCUACGGGAGGCAGCAGUGGGGAAUAUUGCACAAUGGGGGAAACCCUGAUGCAGCGACGCCGCGUGAGUGAAGAAGUAUUUCGGUAUGUAAAGCUCUAUCAGCAGGGAAGAGAAUGACGGUACCUGACUAAGAAGCCCCGGCUAACUACGUGCCAACAGCCGCGGUAAUCUGAGCGGCUGGCAAGGC
rnacentral:rRNA from 1 species